ensembl:lncRNA
UGCACUAUCAACAUGAGGAAUGCACCCCUCAUGUGAAAUUUGCAAUUGUGCAGAUUCCUAAUUAGAAAACUUUACUUGAAGAAUUUCGCUGUACAAAGGUAAAUGUGACUUCAUCAUUAUGCCACAAAUGCUUAAUUUCACAAUAUUCCUUUAAGGAGAAUGACAACAUCAACUCUUACCCUGGUUGGCAGUAACUUUGUUAAGGAAUUAACAGGAAGUGAGUAGGCAGAGCUUAAGAGAGAAAGUUUUGCAUAUAUUUGUGUGUGUGUGUGUGUGUGUGUUAUCAGUCCCCAAAGACAUUCCCAACCAACUUCCUCAACCAUUGUCCAUUCCUGAUUGAAAUCUUAAAUUGUUACACUGUCCAGUCUUUGGACAGGAUGUGGCACAGACUAGCUCCGUAGAUGAGCUGUACCUACAGAUGACUGUCUUUAUGAACCCGUGAAUGAUUCACUCAAAAACCAAAUAAUUCAGGAACAAAACAGCUAGUUGUAGAGGCACAAUUGUUCUUCGAUGGCAUUGAAAGAGCAAAAUCAAAGUAAAUGGCAAUACUGACAAAACUAAAUUAUAAGUUACUCAGUAUUAGCUUGUUUAUUGAACUUUUGCAUACAAGUCAAAUCACACUGGAAAUCGUGCUGUUUUUCACAUUAUACACAGUAUUUACCUACUUACAGUUAGUAAUACACAUUAUACACACUAUGUUCACGUUCUACAUUAUGCAGACGUAUAUACUGUACACAUAAAAUAUGCGAAGGUGUAACAGAUUAUACAAGAUAUCAUAUAAACUAAAGAUUAAAUGGCAAAAGCACUGAAGUUUCACAUCUUGGACAACAAAGUGACUAUAUGCAAAUUCUCCAUCUGCUCCAUGUACUAAAGUGAAGUGUGUAUGAGGCACAGAAGGAGAAAUUCACAUCAUUUUUAAUCAUGAUCUUCUCAUCAGCUCUAUUAUUGCUGGUGGCAGCUGCAUCCUGUGGUGUUUUCUGUGUUGAGCUCACUCAACCCUCAUCUAUGGUUGUGAAACCUCAAGAAUCAUUCUCCAUCUCCUGCAGGAUUUCAGUAUCAAGCUACUGCAUUCACUGGAUCCGUCAACCCACUGGAAAAGCACUGGAAUGGCUUGGAUAUAUUUGUAGUGAUGGUAGCACUAACAUUAUAGACUCAGUGAAAAACAAGAUCAGU